UACGGGGGGGGCAAGCGUUGUUCGGAAUUACUGGGCGUAAAGCGUGCGCAGGCGGUUUUGUAAGUCUGUCGUGAAAGCCCCGGGCUUAACCUGGGAAUUGCGAUGGAGACUGCAAGGCUUGAAUCUGGCAGAGGGGGGUAGAAUUCCACGUGUAGCAGUGAAAUGCGUAGAGAUGUGGAGGAACACCGAUGGCGAAGGCAGCCCCCUGGGUCAAGAUUGACGCUCAUGCACGAAAGCGUGGGGAGCAAACAGG
rnacentral:rRNA from 1 species